rnacentral:misc_RNA from 1 species
GAUGAAGAACGUAGCGAAAUGCGAUAAGUAAUGUGAAUUGCAGAAUUCAGUGAAUCAUCGAAUCUUUGAACGCACAUUGCGCCCCUUGGUAUUCCGAGGGGCAUGCUUGUUCGAGCGUCAUUAUAACCCCUCAAGCUCGGCUUGGUGUUGGGGCCUGCCGCACGGGCAGCCCUUAAAAUCAGUGGCGGUGCCAUCUGGCUCUAAGCGUAGUAAUUCUUCUCGCUAUAGAGUCCCGGUGGAUGCUUGCCAUUAACCCCCAAUUUCAAUGGUUGACCUCGGAUCAGGUAGGGAUACCCGCUGAACUUAAGCAUAUCAAUAAGCGGAGGA